AACUAACACAAGUCUUCCGAGGGAUUCUGUGGAUCAGUAUUACUGCCACUGCCACCACGCUGCUGCUUUGCUAUAUGUCUGUGUUCAGAGAAUUCAGAGGUGUGCUGAAUAGAGUACAAGCUUGUCUGAAACAGUCAUCACCAGCUACCUAUGCCAUGGUUCCCCUGUGCAAACUGGAUAUGUGUGUGAGAAUUAUGGAUCCGGACAGGACAGCCUGACAAGACCUGCGUUUGAUUUCUGAGGAAAACACAGUGUAACUGCGGGGGAUAUCAGCAGCCCUUGAAUGGCCUGCCCGGGUGCACCAUGGACCCGCAAUAGGUCCUGGCCUAAGCCGUGCUGUGGAGGGACAUUGUGUUGGUGCCACAUUGCAUCUGAGCUACCCACAGUAAUUUGGUGUUAUUUGUAUGUUGUCCCAGUAUCUGAUCCAAGACACAGCUCUAACUAUGCCAGUGUAAAGGAAUUUAGACAACACCUUUGAUUAUAGCAAAGGACAGCAUCUUUCUUUCCUUCUGUUAAAAGAUCCAAUUUUGUUGGAAGGACAAACAAAGGAAAUCCUAUUCCAGCCUGGCUGUUAUAUUUCUUCCAUGAUCACAGACAGAAUAAUCCUGUUCUGAGAAUCUUUAGUGCUAUUUAUGCUGAGCAGUGGAUUGCUCCAGAAAAAAAAAAAGGUAUUCCAGCACAUUUAUUACUGUAGAAUUGUUUGGUUUCCCAUGUGACACUACAGAGGCUUUACACUCACUUGCUUUUAUGCAGAGCUUGCACUAGCAUGAAGCAGACCCCUAAUAAUGGUCAAAAUUAAAUCCCAAGUUCUCAAAACCACAGUGGUUCGGUCAGCUACACCUGAUACUUGCACACCUGAUCUAGAGGUCAGCUGCUAUGAGUCCUUCACCAGUGCCCUGGGGCAUAGCCAACUUUUUGAGCUGCUAAAACAGCAGAAUCAUGAAGUAGUAGCCUGGAAAAAAAUACUCAGUGAGCUUUCAGUUAAUAACAGAGGCAAUGAAUGACUGAGUUGCUGCCUUGCCUUGAUUUACCAUCAGCGAGGUCCCUGGCCAUGCUACUUUGUACUCAUUAAAGCCCUCGGUGACACAGGGAGGCCUGCAUUCAUUUAUUCUGGUCAUGUUUUAGCGUAGUGUACCGAGGCAUCCCUCCAGGAGGCAAAUUUGCCUAUUCAGACCUGCGUCAAGCUCUAGGAAAAAGAUCUUAGUAAUUAUGUGCUGCUUGAGAACAGGGGCCUACCAGAUACACCUUGCCAACCCAGCCUGGGGCAGUCUUUGUCUUUGCUGAGUAUGCAAGAGAGGAUUACUUGGAGAACUGGACCUAGAAAGCAAUGGAUCUUGAGUAAAAAAGUAUUACCAUAUGCAGCACCUUCAAAUGAAAUCUUGAGAGAAACAAACACAGUAGCCCAAAAGAACAAAUCUGAGAGCAGAGAGGACAAACUUGGUGCCUCUCUCACUGGUUUUCUAUAAGCACUUCUCCAGUUUUAUUGCAUGGUUCCACCAAAGUGGACUCUCAAACUUCUCUGCUGCCCACAAUGCCAUUUUACCUCUACUGCACUGAUGCCCAGUGUGACCAGAACGCUU